CUUUGUGCUGAUCGUGGAAUCUUCGCCCAAAUUUCAAUUGGUACGCUCUAAGGCUCCGUUCCUAAUUCUCGGUAUAAAUUCCAAAUUUAUAAUAAUAUGCUGUGAAUUAGUUGAAGAAUUUUUAGGAGAAUGUGAACCUAGGAUAUAAUUAUUAGAGUUGUGAUAAUAUUAGAUUAUGAGUGUGUAAUUAAAAUCACUAUUUGCCUUAGUUAAAUUCAAUUAAUUUUGAAACUUUAGAAUUUAAGUCCUUUAAGAUAAUAGUUGGUAAUCAAAUGUGAAACAUAAAUUGGAAAUAGUUAAUUAGAUAUUUAGAUAGCCAUUAGCCUAAAACUAGUUGAUUAUACAUAAGAAAA